GGGAAAGCCACCUAAAUACAAAUAAUUGAGUUUAGGGAGAAGACCUCAGCCAGAAAAGUGUUUAUUUAUUACAGUGUGUGUGUGUGUGUGUGUGUGUGUGUGGUGCAGGCAUGUGCACCACACAGCGCACGUUUAGAGGUCAUAGGGCAACUACAUCUUGAGUCCUCUGGGCCCUACGUAAUUAUCCGUUCUGGUUAAAGUUUACCACCACACCAUACCUUUAUGUGGUACUUUUUUGCGGGGGUGGCUAAUGAUGUGGAGACUUACUAUUAACUCUGAAAGCUCAGUCUACAGCUUCGGCUUGUCCAUUAGCUCCUGUAACUUAACCCAUUUAUAUUAAUCUAUGUGCUUCCGCAUGGCUCCUGGCUUUUGCCUCUCCUCCUGCACAUCCUGCUUCCUCUGCAUCCGGCUGGUGACUCCGCCUUUUUUCUUCUCAGAGCUCUCUCUGUUCCCAGAAGUCCUGCCUAACCUUCUCCUGCCUAGCUAUUGACCAUUCAGGCCUUUAUUAAACCAAUCACAAUGACAAAUCUUCACACAGUGUAAAAGAAUAUUCUUUCUGGGCAGUGGUGGUACCUGCCUUUAAUCCCAGCACUAAGGAGGCAGAGGCAGGUAGAUCUCUAUGAGUUCCAGGACAGCCAGGUUUAUGUAGAGCAUUCCAGGUUAGCCAGAGUUACAAAGUGAAACCUUAUCUCAUAAACAAUUUUUUAUUAUUUUUUUUAUGUGUGUGGCAUUUUGUGUGUGUGCCAGUGUGAGUGUUUGUGUGUGGGGGGGUCAGAGGACAACUUGUGUUUUAUCCUUCCAUCAUGUGGGUUCUAGGCAUGGAACUCAGGUCUCAGAGGCAAAUGACCUUACCCACUGAACGAGCUUGUGGUUUUUUUGUUUUUUGUUUUUUGUUUUGUUUUUUUGGUUUUUCGAGACAGGGUUUCUCUGUGGCUUUGGAGGCUGUCCUGGAACUCGCUCGUUAGACCAGGCUGGCCUCGAACUCACAGAGAUCCGCCUGCCUCUGCCUCCCUAGUGCUGGGAUUAAAGGCGUGCGCCACCAACGCCAGGCUCGAGCUUGUGUGUUUGAGACUAGCUAAGUGCUUGUCUAGCAGUACAGUCCCUCCGUUAGAUCCUCAGCCGAAUAAAACUGGGCAUGGUGUACACACUCCUAGUCCAAGGGCACCUUCAGCCGCAGAGUGCAGGAGGCCCUGCUGAAACAGAGCAGAGAAUGGAAGGGAGAGAAGGGGGGAGGGUGUGCCCACCUGCCCCCUCUUGGGUGCUUGCAGAAAAAACAAAGGUCACAGCAUAGAGUAUCAUUUAACAAUAGUCCCAUAGCUUGUCCAGGCAUUGGUUUCACAGUGUUGAGGAUAAGAAAAUUCAGACUUCCUGGAGCUUUUUACAAAAAGAACCAAAGAAGGCAGGGACCAGAUUGGAAGCUGCUGGGGAUAUUUCUGGCAUCUGUUGACGAGGAUGAGGGGCUCCAAUUCCAAGGGCAUGACGACAGGGUCAACCCCAUCUCUUCUCCCUGUUCUUGGCAACAGUCAGUCAAGCCAGAAAGAGCAAUCUGUCAAAUCUAAUUAGAGGAGAAGAAAGUGAACAAUGGAUGCCCAGCUUUUAACUGACAGCCCUGUUUAAUGAGGUGGAGGAGCUCAGGGGAGGAUGUGUGUCUCCUGUGCUUGGAAAUGGGUCCUUCAGAUCAAUUCUUCCCUUCACUCAAAGUGUAAAACAUCUCUAACUGGAUUCUUACUUACUUCACCCGAAAUCUCCAGGUGUCUUCGCUUUUUUAAAUUCAUGCUCACCCAGCAAAGGCAGAAGAGAACGUGGGUCUGUUUCAAAGGCUAAUAUUCUCCAGCCUGGUCCCAUGCCCGGAGAGGCACUCUCAUCCACAGUUCUCCUUCGGCGGCCGGUGGUCAAGGGUGCGUCUUUGUUUCGUGUGACUCUUGGAAGCAGAAAUGGUUCCACGCUGUAGUUUCUGUUUGACUUGCUGCUCUUCCGUGCCUCCUGGAGCUCCUUUCACCGGGAUGUUUGCAUCUCAUUCCUUUCAGCCGACGUCCAGGGGGUCAGUGGCCACCGUCACUUGUUUUUACUCAGCCUCACGCCUGCGCUCCUGAAACAACCCCAUGGCACAAGUCAACACCUAGCUGGGUUUGUAUUCACAGGGCAGGUUGAAACAGGCAUCGGCUUUAUGGCUGACUGGAGUGUUACUAACAACAUAUAAGAACUGAGGAAAAGUAGCUGGGGGCCCAUCUCGGCACCCUAAGUCCCAGACACUGUGUUCUCAGUGAAUUCGUUAUCCGUCUGCCUCCCAAUAGUUAACCCACCACUCUACAGUCAUUUAUUCCUUAUAUGUGAGAUGUUAGUAGUAGACUCUCAGUGGUGUUGUGAAGACUAGGUGAAAGAGCACAGGAAAAGAUCGGCCAGCGGGUGGACCGAGUUACACUCGCACUUCCCUCGAGAUGGUCUUUCAGAUGAAGUGCUUCAGGUGUAGCUCAAAGAAGGGUGGUUGCUGAAUGGGGCGGUGGGUGUGACUAGCAGCCCAGAAGCCCUAGAACCUUGGGGUUACUGGUGGUGCACACCAGUAACCCCAAGCCCUUGGGAGACUGAAGAAGCCAGCUUGUCCUGUCUAAAAUAAACAAAACACAGCAGCAAGCAACAAAACAAAAACCGGCAACAACAACAAACUGAAUUGAAGGCCCUGCGGAGUGGCAGCUGGGUGACUGUUGAUUGGGGGACUAUUGUAACUUGCUCAAUGUUAGUCACAUACAAAAUAAGGGUAGCAGUCAUGUGUAGCCUCUUCCAAGUGCCACCUCAUUCAGUCCUCACAGCUGUACCCUGUGAAGUGGACAGGGUUUGUAAAUGAGAGAAUAAAGGAAUGGAAAGUACUUGGUAUAUUUUUGGUAUAAAUGAUGUAUGUGGUGUUACACUAUGCAGACAGUAUGAUCUGAACUCAGAAUUUAGAGUACCGUCACCAUCCCUUGAAUGCUUUUGUUAGUUGCUUUAUUUCAAGUAGCUGAGGCUGUCUUUGAACUCCUUAUCCUCCUACUUCAGAGUGCUGUGAAUAUAAGUGUGUGCCAUCACACCUGGUUAAUGCAUUUUUUUUUUUUUUGCAAAGCAUGAAUUCCCUGGAUGCCUACUGCCUGUCUAAUGCCCUGCUGUAUAUGUGCAAAAUAUAAAGUGCAAAAUGGAGAUCUUAUCCUCAAAAUUAUGAUUUUGAUUUUUAAAUUGAAGUUCUCUGAAAUAUAAGGUAGCAUAUUUGGGGUAUUUUGAACCCCACAGUUGAAAUCUCUGCUAGAGACCCACUGUAGAGGUAACUGAUGUCAGCCAACACGGGCAGGAUUAUGAACAUUCACGCCCAGUAUCUGUUUAAAUUUUCUUUUAACUACAAAGGUAAAUACAAGCCGGUGACAUCUGCUCCCUGUUCUGGGUGGGUCUCACAGGUGAAAGAGGCCUUUGCAGGGUCUCUCCUGGGCUAACCAGGCUGGUCACAGGGGCUGCCUGAGGCUGGGGCAGCUGUGCCACUGUGACUUAAGCUCCUCCAGCAGCAUGCGAAUUUCCUUUUGUUCUGAACACAAUGCAAGCAGAUAUUUAGCAGGCAGAGGAAAUCCAGGAAGAAUUCUGUUAAGGAGCCGAACUAUUCAUGCAAAGAGCCUGAUUUGGGGAUAAUAUUCAGGAAAUAAACCUGUAUUGCUUCUAAGUCAUCUGCUUAUUCCUCUCAUCCCAGAGAUCUCUCUCUCUCUCUAACUCACAGAGCCUGUUUUCUGGGUGUUUGGGAACACAUUCCAGCCAGCCCCAAACUGAAAUUCCAAUUCGACAAAAAAAAAAAAAAAAAAAAAAAACACUCCAGCUGUCAAGAGCUGAAGAAGCCACAUGUGAAUUUUGGUCUGGGAAUCAGUCAGGCCGCAGAUGGGCUGGGAGUCUGGGGAAUGUGAUGACUCUAAUUCAGGAGGCCUGCGCCAGCCCCUUUGCCUCAAUUCCAGGCUUAGCUCAGAGAGAAGCAAUUCAGAAUGCUUUUCUUUUAAAGGGACAGUGUUAAAUUUUUCAUUUUGUUUUGUCUUUUGGUUUUGUGUGUCAUUUAUUUGAGGUACUAGAACUUGGAACCUGGUGCUGCAUAGCAAGCCCCUCCCUGCCUUUAUUCCUAGACAGGGUUUCUCUGUGCAGCCCUGGCUGUCCUGGAACUGGCUCUGUAGACCGGGCUGGCCUCAGACUCAGAGAUCCACCUGCCUCUACCUCCCCAAUGCUGGGACUCAACGUGUGCACCACCACCGCCCGGCUGGGAGACAGUUCUGUAUUUGAGUCUGGGUCAGGGAUGGCGGGGCUGUAAGAUUUCCCAUCUUGAGACUGAUGCAGCAACAAUAAAGGACCAAGAGGGGGAAAUCCCUGGCCUGACUGGAGACCUAACGUUUCUGUCGGGUGAGCCAGUGGCCUGGCUCCAGAACCACCUCUGGGAAGGCAGAUCACCUGAAUAACUAAUUAUCCCUUUAGUGAGACAGUGUGCCUUUCCUUCCCAGGGUCCCCACCCCAGCAUGGUAGUCUGCAGGGCUGCACCCAUGCAGUUUCAUGAGCUUGAAUGAACACUCUACCACUCAGCGUGUGGUAAUGGCAGGCCCUGCCCUUCUCCCCAUUUCCCUCUGCCUUGCUAAAAACCAUUAGGUUGCAUUCCUAAAGCUAGCAGGGUUUAUUUGUUCCCUUAUUUGACCUGUCCCUCCCCCUGAGGCUGACUACCAAGGUCCAGCUAUCAAAGUAUUAAAGUCCAGCAAUCAAGAGACUGAUUUGGCUCACCUAAUUAACAUGCCAAAUUAAAAUUAAACACCUCAUCCUAACACAGGGGUAUCCCUUCCUUUAUAAACCGUCAUUUUCCUAGGAGCCAUGCCUGUUUCCUCUCUAUUCAGUGGCAGUCCUUAGUCUCCCUCCAGGACAAAUACCCUCACCCUUUCCAUGGUUCCUUUCUUUCUUUCAUUCUUUUUUUUUCUUUCAGAGUUUUACUUGCUGCAGUGCCCCAGCCCUGCAAACUGCUGCACUAGGGAGAUUUUUAAAGAACCACUAAAUUACGGCAUCUGUCUCUUUAUUGCGGCCUAAGGUGGGGUCUAUCUGGGAUGUUAGGCCUCCACCUAGGCCAGAGAUUUCACCAUUAUUUUUUUACUCUGACACCCAUAUCAUACACAAACAAUAACAAUAAACAAAAUUCAAAAGAAAUUAAAAAUCCCCGUUUCAAAAAAGAAAGUAAUUGGGUGGUGUAGGAUCCCCACCCAUUCUGCAGCUGGCAGAGCUCUUCCUUGUGUGACAGGUUUUCUCUGAGGUUUAGGCUCGGGCACUCCUGCUCAACGCAGUGACUUUGCAAAUGAGAAAAGGCGAGGGUGUCAUGACUGCAGGACGCCUUUCUCUCCCAAGGCAGCUUCGUGUUAGGACUGCCUCUUCCUGAAGGGAUUUUCUGUGUAGCCCUGACUGUCCUGGAACUCGAUCUGUAGACCAGCAGGCUGGCAUGGAACUCGCUCAGUAGAUCAGGCUGGCAUGGAAGAGACUCUACUCAACAACAAAGAAAAGGCAGCGCCCCUCCCCCUCUCAGAGAAGGGCUCCGCUUUGUGUGAGCCGACUUCCUCUGGGGACUCCUCCAGGGAGUCUCAAGCCUGGUCCCUGCCUUAGUUUAGUAACCCUUGGUUCAGUAGUCCAGGGUCAAGCCGGGAGAUGUGUGCCUGCAUUGUAUCCAAGUUUUCAGCUACUCUGUUCUUGUAUCUACUCCCUGAAGGACACUUACAAUGGAGUGACAGGGAGGCAUCCCUCCUUCCCCUCUGCAGAUAAACAAAUGUCAAACAGCUUCCUGGGUCUGCACUAUUCACUAAAAGUUACUAAAUAUCCCCCUUUGUCCUCCAAACAAAGAGCUCCUGGUAUUCUUCUGGUUGGAUUCGGAUUGCCGCAGCCCAGACGCUCACCUACCGGGCGGACUAACCAAACCUUCUUUCUCUUGCUGUUGGGUUCCUAACGAGUUUUCUGGCACUCCUGUUGUGAACGAGAGACUAUAAUGAAUGCUUCCCAAUGUUAAGGGAAACACAACCUUCAUUCAAACAGGGAACCUGCAAACAGCGUCAUUCCUUUUAUUUCUCCCUUUUAUCUAUUUAUUAUUAUUUUGCUUUGUUUUCUGAGACAGGGUUUCUCUGUGGCUUUGGAGGCUGUCCUGGAACUACUUCUUGUAGACCAGGAUGGUUAUUUCUCCCUUUUAAAUGGGCUUCUUUCCUUUUAUUAAAUUUGUUCUUUAACCGUUUCAAACAUCUGGGCAUGGUAGCACAUGCCUUUGAUCCCAGCACUCCGGAGGCAGAGACAGAUGGAUAAAUCUGUGUGAAUUCAACCCCAGCCUGCUCUCCACAUUGAGUUCCAAGCCAGCCAGUGUUACUGGAUGAAACCCUGUCUCAAACAAAACCAGUGCAUUCCGAUUACGGGUUAAACCCACCCUCUCUAUUUCCCUCCAGUCCCCAGAACCCCCUCCAUUCAGAUCUCAUUCUCACACUUAGGUCUUUUGGCUCUGUUUUGUGGCCCACUGAGUUAACCAGGGCUGCCUUUGUGACCACAAACCUUUGCUACUUUUCAUUGGAGCGUGGUGGACUGCUUGGCUACACUACUAAAGACAAUGCCUGCCCCUCCCCCAGACUGCAUCUGUGGCUCAGAGUUCAGCAGGGAAGUAUGGCCUCAAGGGCCUUCCGGAUCUCGGAUGUUUUUCUGACAGCCCUGGUCAGCUGCAUAAUUUCAGCCUUCUCCAUGCCUGGCUUGCACAAGACCUCGAGAAAAUUCAGCUGUGCUGCCAUCUGCUGGACGUUUGGAGACGCCACAAGAGCCUGCAGGUUGAAUAAGGUGUCUAGGUGGGCAGUGAAGACCUAGCUUUUCACCCAGAAAAUAGCAUCAAGACAGUAUUCACAUGCAGUUUGCUCAUCCAAAAACAAGCAAACCCACUGGCCCUUUGGGAGAAAAUAGUGUCUGUGUUGAAAAGCACUCGGAUCUGAAUGCUCUGGGAUUGGUGAUCACAGGAAAGUCCAGGGCUACAGUAUGGAAAGAGGCAGAAUUCUCUUCAUUACACACAUCCAUGUUGGGCACCCACUGAAAACAAAAACCUUAUUUUUCAUCACUGCACGCAGGGGGCUAUCAGCACAGAAGUUACAGCACCCUUAUUCUCCUGCACAGACUGAUUUUGCUGAAUGGAAAAAAUGUAAAGGAGUGGCAGAAAUAACAUCAGUCUGGGAGCUGGAAGGUGUUCAGAUGUAGCCUUGGUGGGGUUUGAGUUUGUUUUCCAACCUCUCCAGUCAGUUCUAAUUCACUUGAAGAUUUUUCUAUUUAGGAGCCACAGACCCUUUUCACACCAGGGCCUAAACACAUUUGCAAACACAUUUAUAGUUGUGCUUUCAAAUAAAUAAUGUUUAUUCGAAGUCCGUUCAACAUUGUUGCAAUUCCUCUACAAUGCCCAUUCAGAAGCCUCUUGGGGAACUGGCCAGCGGCAGAAUGAAGGUCAGAGUAGGACUGGCCCACCCACCUGGGAAAAUCCGUUCAACUGCAGAAGCCUUAGUAAUGGAAACACAUUAACAAAACAUAGCUCUGACCUCAAGGAGCCUCAUGGAUACUUUUAACAAAACGAGUUUCUGUAUUCUGGAAUGAGCUCUUACUGGUUUUCCUGGAAGAGAUGAAAUGACUUGAUCAACGUGUGGCCUUCUGGAGGCUGGCUGAUUACAAAACCCUUGGGGUCCAUGUCAGGUGACUUCCAUAGUCAAUCAGUGUGUUCUAAGGGCAUCCUACAUUUCUUCAACAACUAAGUCCUCGAGGGGGAGACUGUCUGGUCCUACUGCUAAAAGCCUUAGCUUUCUCCAGGGGUGCUUGGAGAAGACACUUCAGCAACCAAGAAAACAGAAUGAGAAAUAAAUAACAGUCCCUUAAUAGCAAGUCCUAGAUGGACUGUGUGUCAGAAAAUGAAAAAGUCGAGUGUGGUUUUGUUGAUUUGUUUGUAUUUUAAAACUUUCUGUGUAGAUCAGGGUAACCUCAGACUUGGAGCAACAUUGCUUCAUCUUCAUAUAUAUAUAUGAUAUAUAUAUCAUACAUAUGCACACAUCUUGUCUAACCAUAUAAAUUAUGCACUGAUA